UGUGGGAGCGGGCUUGCUCGCGAUUCAGGCGCUGCGGUCUGUCAGGUAAACCACAGCGAUCCCAUCGCGAGCAAGCCCGCUCCCACA
rnacentral:misc_RNA from 1 species